rnacentral:rRNA from 1 species
ACGGCUCAGUAACACGUGGAUAACCUGCCCAAGGGUCCGGGAUAACCCCGGGAAACUGGGGAUAAUACCGGAUGGAUCACUAGUGCUGGAAUGCUUGGUGGUCGAAAGGUAACGCCCUUGGAUGGGUCUGCGGCGGAUUAGGUUGACGCCGGUGUAACGUACCGGCGUGCCUGUAAUCCGUACGGGUUGUGGGAGCAAGAGCCCGGAGAUGGAUUCUGAGACACGAAUCCAGGCCCUACGGGGCGCAGCAGGCGCGAAAACUCUACAAUGCAGGCAACUGCGAUAGGGGGACAUCGAGUGGCAUCCACCUUGGGUGCCUGUCCAACCGUCUAAAAAACGGUUGUUAGCAAGGGCCGGGUAAGACCGGUGCCAGCCGCCGCGGUAAUACCGGCGGCUCGAGUGGUGGCCGAUAUUAUUGAGUCUAAAGGGUCCGUAGCCGGCUUUGCAAGUCCCCUGGGAAAUCCAGCGGCUUAACCGUUGGGCUUUCAUGGGAUACUACAUUGCUUGGGACUGGGAGAGGUAGGAGGUACUCGAGGGGUAGGGGUGAAAUCCUGUAAUCCUUCGGGGACCACCGGUGGCGAAGGCGUCCUACCAGAACAGGUCCGACGGUGAGGGACGAAAGCUAGGGGCACGAACCGGAUUAGAUACCCGGGUAGUCCUAGCCGUAAACGAUGCCCGCUAGGUGUCACGACGGUCGUGAAUCGUCGUGGUGCCGUAGGGAAGCCGCGAAGCGGGCCACUUGGGAAGUACGACCGCAAGGUUGAAACUUAAAGGAAUUGGCGGGGGAGCAC